GGAAUUUUGAGAAAUCGUACCCUAACUUACGGGGUUUCAAUUUUCUCAAUAAAUCGAAGUACACAAUCUUUUCAAACAUAAAUUUUUAAACGAUAUCGGGAAUUAACAAAAGAUCGUGUUUUAACUUACGAGACAUGAUUUCUUUUUUCAAACCCGAAUAAUUGAAUCAAAUAUCUUUUGAAUAAAUAAAUUUUUUGGCAUGUAUUCUUGUAUCGUGAAUUUGAUACGUUGUGUCCUAACGCAUUUGAUAUGACAUGUUGUUUUCUCGAGAUGAGGUUUUUCUAAAAAAUAAUAAAGGC
rnacentral:lncRNA from 1 species